rnacentral:rRNA from 1 species
CGGCUAGGGGGCCAUCCCGGCUUACCAAACCGAUGCAAACUGCGAAUACCGGAGAAUGUUAUCACGGGAGACACACGGCGGGUGCUAACGUCCGUCGUGAAGAGGGAAACAACCCAGACCGCCAGCUAAGGUCCCAAAGUCAUGGUUAAGUGGGAAACGAUGUGGGAAGGCCCAGACAGCCAGGAUGUUGGCUUAGAAGCAGCCAUCAUUUAAAGAAAGCGUAAUAGCUCACUGGUCGAGUCGGCCUGCGCGGAAGAUGUAACGGGGCUAAACCAUGCACCGAAGCUGCGGCAGCGAACGUAUCACCCAAGACAACUUUACGGAGUUGACGAUUGACGGAGCGAAGCGACGUCAAAGCGUUCAUUAAAGUCGAGUUGGCUUAGGGAUACGUUCGUUGGGUAGGGGAGCGUUCUGUAAGCCUGUGAAGGUGUGUCGUGAGGCAUGCUGGAGGUAUCAGAAGUGCGAAUGCUGACAUAAGUAACGAUAAAGCGGGUGAAAAGCCCGCUCGCCGGAAGACCAAGGGUUCCUGUCCAACGUUAAUCGGGGCAGGGUGAGUCGACCCCUAAGGCGAGGCCGAAAGGCGUAGUCGAUGGGAAACGGGUUAAUAUUCCCGUACUUGGUGUUACUGCGAAGGGGGGACGGAGAAGGCUAUGUUGGCCGGGCGACGGUUGUCCCGGUUUAAGCGUGUAGGUGUGUGUUCCAGG